UGUGUCUAAGGCCUCGCCUUACGUUGAUGCUGCCCCGGUAGGGGCUCGUCGAAACACAUCGGCGCCUUCUCCUGGACCGAACCGCAGCGAGCAUGCGAGUGAGGUUGAGAGGAGGCAGCCAGUCUCUCUGAAA
rnacentral:misc_RNA from 1 species